rnacentral:misc_RNA from 1 species
AAUGCACUCAACCUCGAUUGG